CUAACUUAUUUAAAUAAAAGCUUCGAAGAAACUGUUCAUGGUCUCCAGCCUGUAUUCGGAUAACCAACAUUCUCACGACCCAAAAUUAAACACGCAGAGGAAAAAAAGGCCACUCCCCAGCCCCCGCCCCUCCUCCAACAAAGGUUGUGAAAGACAAGCCAUCAGAGGAUCCCACGACAUGGCUGCAGUGAGCACUGAAGGACAAAACUCAACAGUUCUGUUCGACUUCCUCUCCAACCUUGGGCUGCAGAAGUAUUAUCCGAACAAACUCACUCUUCAAUCUCUCUUGGAAGUCAACAAAAGCAGCAUCUACGAAAAAGUUGUUCUGUCAGAGGAUGAAAUACCAUUUUAU